UACAAAUGGAUGAAACCACAUUUUACCUUAAUGAAGACAGUAAUCUUUAAUAAGGUGUAGAAAAAAAGAGGUGAGUUGUUUGUUGCUGUGGUAAACAAAGAAGUGUACUGAAUCUUUUGGACUACACAGAUUGAUGUAGUAUUGAUUGUGAUGCUGAUCUGAGUUGUCUCAUUCUGUAUUUUUGUGCUUUGUCUUUUGUUACACAGAGUGAACGAGAUCUUUGGUUUUGCCUUUGCUGACUGCUGAUCUGAUCGUCUCAAGUCUGGUGACCUGCUGCAGAAAACCCUCUCCC